rnacentral:rRNA from 1 species
UACGUAGGGAGCAAGCGUUGUUCGGAAUCACUGGGCGUAAAGGGCGUGUAGGCGGUCAGGUAAGUGGGACGUGAAAUGCCUCGGCUCACCCGAGGAGCGGCGUCCCAUACUGCUUGGCUUGAGUACGGGAGAGGAUGUGGGAAUUCCUGGUGUAGCGGUGAAAUGCGUAGAUAUCAGGAGGAACACCGGUGGCGAAGGCGCACAUCUGGCCCGAUACUGACGCUGAGGCGCGAAAGCUAGGGGAGCAAACGGG